rnacentral:rRNA from 1 species
UACGACGGGGGCUAGCGUUGCUCGGAAUCACUGGGCGUAAAGCGUGCGCAGGCGGUUAUAUAAGUCAGAUGUGAAAUCCCCGGGCUCAACCUGGGAACUGCAUUUGAGACUGUAUGGCUAGAGUGUGUCAGAGGGGGGUAGAAUUCCACGUGUAGCAGUGAAAUGCGUAGAUAUGUGGAGGAAUACCGAUGGCGAAGGCAGCCCCCUGGGAUGACACUGACGCUCAUGCACGAAAGCGUGGGGAGCAAACAGG